rnacentral:lncRNA from 10 species
UGUCUUUGUGUGCAUGAGUGGGUUUGUGGGAGGUGAAGAGCAGAGGGAGAAAAAGAGAGAGAAGAGGAGGGUGAGAGAGAGGAACAGAAGACCUGGCUGUACUCCUGAAUAACACUGAACAUAAAACUCUUUCACAUAUACCAUCUAUUUCUUGCUGGGACCCUGACUGAAACAAUAUUUAACUAUAUUUUCAUCUAGCUUCUUCUAGGAAAGCACUCUGAAGCCAAGUUGAAACAUUAUACUCUCAGGCAGUAGUAGAGAUCAACCUCUUAAAACCAAAUCCAUGGGCCCAGGAGUAUGGAAAAGAGUUCAAUAAAAUGGCCUUAACUGGUAUAAGAAGUUACAAUUGUUAAAAGGAGAUUCAGCUGUGAUAGCAAAAGAGAAAGAAAAUGAAAAAGUUGUCCUGGCUCAUCUCUGGAAAGACAUGAUAUUUCAUAACCUCAAGGUGUUUGCUUCUGACCUAUAACUUCAAUUAUAGACCAGGUUAUCCAAAAGUUCUCCUUAUUAACAAGGUAUCUGUUUUUACCAGGUGUCUGUUAUUAAUUAGUUAGUAUAUAAUUUAAUGCAAUUAACCAAAGCACCUCUUAUGCCUAGAACAUAGCAGGUGGUUUACUUCUUUCUUAUGACAUAUUCAAGACUCAUGGUUUUCCCAUUUUUAGAGUCAAAAACAUAAAUUCCUCCUUUUGCUUUCCUGCGCUAACAUAUCCACCUCACACACCUGUUUACUCUUUGUUUGCAGGGAAAUGUGUACAUCUGCUAGGGCGUGAUCUCGAUGAUGAGGUGACAUAUGGGAUGUCAUUCCAUUAUUUAAAGAACAAAUUCCAAAGAUCAAACUUUUCUCCCCACACUUGUGAGUGAUACAUGGGUCUUCUCAGGGACAUUAAAAUGGAGCUAGUCUCACUGAUUUCAUGGACAUUUAGCAUACAAUUAUUGAGUUACCUGCUGAAAUCUCUUCAUACAUAUCUGGUUUCACCCUAGGUUAUGAAUAUCCAUGCAGACUAUUUUUCCAAGCUUCUACGCAACUAACCUUGGCACUUACCCCCAGCUCAGGCAGCAAGCAAAUUAUUCUGGCUUGAUGUCCAUCUGAUGGUUUACUCUUGCUACCUCCUACUCCCUACUAUAACCACAAAUGACCUCCUCCCCACUUGCUCUCAUUCUUACCAGAAGUUUUCAGUUAACAGCUCACUACUAAGCCAGUUUCCUUCUUAAAGUAUAUAUAUCCUUUUAAAAUUUCCAGUCUUGUUACUCUCUCUCUUCCUCUUCAAUUUCUUGUCCUGUUGUCACAAGAUCUCUUCUUAGCUCACCAAAUUAUCUUCUCUUCCCUUUCUCUUUUAUUCCAUUUAUGAACAAGACACCAACUUCUACCACAACAACAGAACAAAACAACCCCUAGCUUCAAAGAGAACAAAAAAACCCCAAAAUAAAUUAAAAAUGGCUUUAAUGCUUAGAGUUGCAGGGACAAGAAAAACCACAUUCUUUUAAAAUGAAAUUAGAUGUCAUAAAGGACUAUGAACUAGUAAGAGUUCCCCGAAGUCCCCUUCCGAAUCUCACAAAAGACUCCAUCUCCUUCUUCAUCUGGCUUUUUGUUAAUAACCAAUGUCCAAUAUAAAUAGAAACAUUGCUUUGUUUUGAUUGUAUUGCUCUUUCAUUUGUGCAAAUGGUAGUAUUUCUAUUGUAUCAAUGAUAAACUUUUUCAGGCAAGCCUGAGAUGGCAGAUUACAACAUUAUUUCUAUGGGAACACCCAUUCCUAAUUGGAAACAAUCAGAUUACCAACAGAGAGUUCAUAAACUGAGAGCUGCCUGCAAUGAGAACUGAUUUACACUCUGGUUUCUAAUUUAGAAACAAUUUCACUGUGCUAGUUUCUCCUUUUGCACAAAGAUUUAGGAUGGUGCAGUAGGGUAAGGAAAAAUGGCUUCCCUUCAGUCUGCUAGGUUCUUUGGCUGGGCUACAAAUUAAAUUGCCAUAAAACAGAUUAAUAGGAGAAAACCAUAUUUAAUAACAUGUAUGCAUGGGAGUCCCAUAAAAUAUGGGAUUGGAAGAAGGAUCAGAUGAUUAUAUAGCAUCCUGAGGUACAGAAAGGAGUAGGGGCUUGGCACUUCCAGGGGAUGGUGGCAACACAAGCAAUGGGAGGAUAAGGGGAGACAAUGUAUGGUGAAUAAAUGGUUGUCUUACGCAGACAUAAGGUCUCUCACGUAAUACAAGUUAUCUGGGAGCAGCCCUCAGAAAAAUAGGUGUUAAUCUGUGGGGUCAUGGUGUCCACCUCCAAUCUCCUCUCCUGUGAUCGAAGUUAAUCUUCCUUGGUUGAUAAGAUUCCCAGGGAGGGGAUUCAUGACAAUUUAGUUCCUUUUGGGGGCUGUCUUUAGGAAGACUAAAGGGAGCUCAGAGGAAGCCUCUGCCGGCAUCCACUGUUCCCCAAGUGUCCUCAGUUCAAAGCAAUAAACAUACCAAUGUGUCAUAUUUUGGGGUGGCAUUUCCUGAAUCCCUUUAGUGAAAAAAGGAGAAAAUAAGAAUAGGCACCUCAUAGAAAAAUUUACCUCUAUUUCAAAUAAUGCAUAUUGGGAAAUUGAAUUGAAUGAUGAAGCAAAUAAAAUAUUUAUUUAUUGUAUGUAAUAUAGAUGAGUCAAUGUCGCUUUGAGAAAUUUAACUUUUUAAUUUGCUAACUUGGUGUUUGUAUUGCAUUAGCAAUUGCAAAUGAAUAUUAUUCUCUUGCAAGUGUCAAAAAGAUAAUGUUGUGGGGAAAGCAGCUCCAACUGUUACUCAGGCAUGGCUGGAAAAAGCUUGCACUCUUCAUUGUCUUUUUCUAGUCACUGAAUCGCCAGCUUUAUUUCUAUGGUGGCAGGUAUACCAAAAUCAGAAUGGGAUUACACUCACAUAUUAGUAUAUACAGCAACCUGCCUGUGUGAAAUAUAUGCAAAUCUUCCCCUACAUACCAUGUAGUUAACUCUACAAUGAACAAUAUAUAAAUAUUGUGGGUAAAGUAAAUCAAUAUAAAAUCAUACAUUCACAUUCACAAUAUUUUAAAAAUAUCAAAAUGGUUUUGGCUAAGAACAUAAAACAUUUUAUUUUUGGAAAAGGAAGUCUGUUUCAAUAGUCUUGUUAAAAAUACUACCAUAUAAACUAUGCACUUAAGAUACAAAAAAAGAGUAACACUUAACUUCAUAAGAAAUAUCAAACCAUUUAUUAUAAAUUAUUCAUUAAACGUAGUGAAUUAUUUUAUAUGGGAAAAUUCUCUUUGAAAUAAUAUUUGUAUGGCUUCCUAAAAUCAGACAAGGUUAGCUACACUUGAGUUUCUUACUUUCUUGCAUAUAAGUCAGAAAUAUUCUUUGAAAAGCUCAAAUACAAGAUAAGGUGUAUUCUCCACAUCUCUGUGUGUGUGUGUCGCAUGCAUGCACACACAUUAUCUCCACAUACACACACAUAUACACACACACACACACACGCACACAUCCUUAUUGUUAUUUUCUUCUCAUCUUCUAAAUGUAUUUAUUUGACUCCCAGUAGAAGACAACUGUAAGCUACAGGGAAAAAAUGCAAUUAAAUUUAUGUUCAGAAGAACAUAAACAAUGGGAAUAUGUUCUGAGAAAUUCAUCAUUAGGUGAUUUUGCAUUAUGUGAAUAUCAUAGAGAGUACUUACACAAAUGUAGCUAGUAUAACCUACUACAUACCUAGGCUAUAUGGUCUAGUGGAUUGCUCCUAGGCUACAAAUCUGUACAGAUGUUACUGUACUGAAUACUACAGGUGACUGUAACACAUGUUACGUAUUUGUGUAUCUACACAUAGAAAAGGUACAAUAAAAAUACAGUGUAGAAGAUAAACAAUGGUACAUGUGUAUGGACACUUACCAUAGAUAGAGAUUGCAAGAUGAAAGUUGCUGUGGGUGAGUCAGUGAGUCAAUGGUGAAUGAAUGUGAAGGCCUAGGACAUUGCUGUAAUCUUCUGUAGACUUUAUAUACACUGUACACAUAGGCUACUCUAAAUUUAUUUUAACAAAUUUUCUUCAAUAAUAAAUUAAUCUUAGCUUCCUUAACAUUUGUACUUUGUAAACUUUUUUUUAAACUUUCUCUUUUGUAAUAACACUUAGCUUAAAACACACAUUGCAUAGCUGUACGAAAAUAUUUUCUUUAUAUCCUUAUUUUAUAAAUUUGUAUUUUUAAUUUUUUUUUUACUUUUUAAGCUUUAUCAUUAAAAACUAAGACAUAAACACACAGAUUAGCUUAGGUAUACACAGGGUCAGGGUCGUCAAUAUCACUGUCUUCCACCUCCCCGUACUGUCCCACUAGAAGGUCUUCAAGGAGCAUUAACACACAUGAAGCUGUUUAUCUCCUAUAACAAUGUCUUCUUUAGGAAUACUUACUGAAGGAACUGCCUGAGGCCAUUUUACAGCUAACUAAAAAAAAAAUAAGUCUAAGAAGUACACUCUAAAAUAAUGAUAAAAAAUAUGGUAUUGGAGCUCAGAAAACAGUACCUCAAAAGGAAGGCCUCAGAAGCAAAAGGUUCUCCCUGAUCUUUUGCCAUCCUGUUUCUGGCCACUCAUUCUCUCUUAAGGCUGGCCAUUGAAACUAGAAUCCCUUCUUCCCAAGGCACGUCAUAGAAACCAGAACCCUUUUCCCCAAAGCCAGCUUAAAAAUAUUACUUUAACUUAAAAUAAAAUUUUAAAAUAUUACUUUAACUCCCACCUCACCCCUGCCUUUCUGUAUAAAAAUUGGCCAUAAAAAAUUAUCUCACCUACCUUGUUUGACUGUAGGUCAUAAGACCCCCCAUUCUAGAGAGGCUCCUGCCCCUUACCCAGAAGUAAGGAACGCUGCACAGAAAGGCCAGGAAGAAUCUAAACAGACAGGCCUUACUGGGUUCUCCCACUCAGUCUAUUAGCAUUAGAUCAUACCCUUUUUGUCCAAUCAUAUUUGCACAUGCUAUACAUACUUUGUUGAACCAAAGUAUAAAAAUGGACUGUUUCCUUCAUCUUUGUGUCUUCAUUCUAAAGGCUCCCAAGUCAUGUAAAAUUAUAAUAAAUUUGUAUUUGCCUUUUUUAUUAAUCUGCUGUUUUGUCAGUUGAUUUCCAUCAAACCUUCAGAGGGUGAAGGAGAAGUUUUCCCUGGGUCCCUACAAUAGUAUAGAUAAAUACAUAAACCAGUAACAUAGUCAUUUACUACCACUAUAAAGUAUUAUGUACUGUAUAUAUUUGUAUGUGCUAUACUUUUAUAUGACUGGCAAAGCAAUAGGUUUAUUUACAGCAGCAUCACCACAAACAUAUGAGCAAUGCAUUUUGCUCUGGCAUUAUGAUGGCUACAACAUCACGAGGUCAUAGGAAUUUUUCAGCUCCAUUACAAUCUUAUAGGACCACUAGUGUCAUUAACUGGAAUGUUGUUGUGUGGCACUUGACCAUAUAUGUUUUAAUGUUGAAGAGUGAAUUAAAUUAAUAACAGGGAAUUUCUUUGCUUUGGUUUACUUAAAUGUGAAAAUGGAUUGCUAUUUAAGCAGAGUGUACAAAAUAAAUACUUUUUUCACAUUCUAGUAAAAUGGCCAGUUUAAUAAUAUUUUGAACAAAAAAAAUUCCCCCCAGACCAAGGUGUUUUUUAUUUAAUAGGGAAAAAUAGUGCUAAAAUUUCAAAUGAUUUUUUUUUUCUUUCUUUUCUGUCACUCCUCUGGCUCUUUUUCCCAAUGAAUGAAUGAACCUGGGAAGAAUUAUCAGUCUGAUACGUGGUUUCUGGCAGACAGCUCCAGCUUACAACAGCAUCAACCAACAGACUUGUGAGUGAAGAUGGCUCCUGAAGGUAUCAGCCCCCCGCUGUCCAGUCACCUCCCAGCUUUUGAGUCUUUCCAGCCGAGACCCCAGACACCAAGGCACAGAGACAAACGUCUGCAUUGUAACCUGUCCAAAAUUCUGACCCACAGAGUUCUUGGCAUAAUAUAAUGAUUGUUUUAUGUCACUAAAGUUUGGAGUGGCUUGUCACAUUGCAAUAAAAAAUUGCAACAACGAAGGAGGUUGAUUAUCUUUUCAUGCUUAUUGAUCAUUUGCAUUUCUUCUGUGUACUGUCUAUUCACAAAUUUUGCCUGUUUGACUCUUGGGUUAUUUGUCUUGCUCAUAUUUUCUGCAUAUUAAUCCUACUUUUGUUACCUAUAUUGCAAAUGUAUUCAACCAGUUGCUUGCUAGGUAAUAGAGAAAUUUGAGUUUUAUGUAUCCGUUCAUUGUUUUCAUUUUUUAGUCUUGGGGUUUUGUAUCUUUUUUUUUUUUUUUUUUUUUUUUUUUGAGACGACGGAGUCUCUCUCUGUCACCCAGGCUGGAGUGCAGUGGCGUGAUCUCCGCUCACUGCAAGCUCUGCCUCCCGGGUUCAUGCUGUUUUCCUGCCUCAGCCUCCCAAAUAGCUGGGACCACAGGCGCCCGCCACCAUGCCCAGCUAAUUUUUUUUUUUUUUGUAUUUUUUAGUAGAGACGGGGUUUCACUGUGUUAGCCAGGAUGGUCUCGAUCUCCUGACCUCGUGAUCCGCCAGCCUCGGCCUCCCGAAGUGCUGGGAUUACAGGCGUGAGCCACUGUGCCCGGCCGGUUUUGUGUCUUUUUUAGAAAAAGGCUUUCCCAUUUGAAGAAUAUAAAAAUAUCCUAUACUUUCUUCUAGCACUUUUAUACCUUUUCUUAUUCAUCAUAAGAUCAGUCUCUGACUCUAUCUUGAAUUUAUUAUUUUACAUGGUAUGGGACAGUGAAAAUCUAACUCUUUUUAGAUGGAUAGUCAGUUGUCUCUGUACCAUUUAUUUAAAUCAUCCAUUCUUUUUCCAUUGAUUUGAAAUGCCUCCUUUAUGAACUAAAUUCUUAAAUAAAUAUAUGUCUAUUUCUAGACUGUCUAUUCUGAACCAUUAAACUGUUUGAUCAUUACUACAAAAGUGCCAUUUUAUUUUAAUUUAUAUAGCUUUUUGAUAUGUUCUGAUAUCCAGUAGAACGCAUAGUAUAGUCUAAUUUUUCUUCCCCCAGAAAUAUCUUUGCAGAUUUUAAGAAUUUCGUCUUUCAGAUAAAUUUCAGAAUAAACUCGCCAAGUGCCUUGCUUGGCACUUAAGUCACAGCCUUGCUUUGACUUAAUAAAUUAAUGUGUAGCAAACUGACAUAUUUAUUAUGUCUUCUUGUAUAUUAACAUGGUAUAUUUCCCCAU